ACUCAUUAAUGAACCUCACACAGUCUCUAUCUGUUUUAAGCAACCUUAAACCACCAUUCAAACUUCCACCAGGUAUAACAUACCACAGCUUAUAGUCACCUUCCACACCUAUCUCCCUUACUAGUUUGUCCAGAUCUAUGAGAUUCACCUCAUCUGUGUUCCACUCACCCCCAAACUCGUGAACCUUACCACACUUAUAUGCAAAAUCAGGGUCACAAAUAAAGUAGCC
rnacentral:lncRNA from 1 species